GAUGAACGCUGGCGGCGUGCCUAAUACAUGCAAGUCGAGCGAACGGACGAGAAGCUUGCUUCUCUGAUGUUAGCGGCGGACGGGUGAGUAACACGUGGAUAACCUACCUAUAAGACUGGGAUAACUUCGGGAAACCGGAGCUAAUACCGGAUAAUAUUUUGAACCGCAUGGUUCAAAAGUGAAAGACGGUCUCGCUGUCACUUAUAGAUGGAUCCGCGCUGCAUUAGCUAGUUGGUAAGGUAACGGCUUACCAAGGCAACGAUGCAUAGCCGACCUGAGAGGGGGAUCGGCCACACUGGAACUGAGACACGUCCCAGACUCCUACGGGAGGCACCAGUAGGGAAUCUUCCGCAAUGAGCGAAAUCCUGACGGAGCAACGCCGCGUGAGUGAUGAAGGUCUUCGGAUCGUAAAACUCUGUUAUUAGGGAAGAACAUUUGUGUAAGUAACUGUGCACAUCUUGACGGUACCUAAUCAGAAAGCCACGGCUAACUACGUG
rnacentral:rRNA from 1 species